rnacentral:rRNA from 1 species
GACGAACGCUGGCGGCGUGCCUAAUACAUGCCAGUCGUGCGGACCUUGUUGAAUGCUUGCUUGUACACGGUUAGCGGCGGACGGGGGAGCAACACGUGAGCAACCUGCCUGUAAGACUGGGAUAACGCCGGGCAACCGGGGCUAAUACAAGAGCGUUUUUUCCUCCGCGUGGGGGAAGAAGGAAAGGCGGCGUCGGCUGCCGCCUACAGAUGGGCCCGCGGCGCAUUAGCUAGUUGGCGGGGUAAUGGCUCACCGAGGCGGCGAUGCGUAGCCGACCCGAGAGGGUGGUCGGCCGCAUUGGGAGUGAGACACGGCACAAACUCCCACGGGAGGCAGCAGUAGUGAAUCGUCCGCAAUGGGCGAGAGUCUGACGGAGCAACGCCGCGUGAGUGAAGAAGGCCGUCGGGUCGUAAAACUCUGUUGCCGGGGAAGAACAAGUGUCGUUCGAACAGGGCGGCGCCUUGACGGUACCCGGCAAGAAAGCCACGGCUAACUACGUG